AUUGAACGCUGGCGGCAGGCCUAACACAUGCAAGUCGAGCGGAUGAAGGGAGCUCGCUCCUGGAUUCAGCGGCGGACGGGUGAGUAAUGCCUAGGAAUCUGCCUGGUCGUGGGGGAUAACGUCCGGAAACGGGCGCUAAUACCGCAUACGUCCUGAGGUAGAACGUGGGGGAUCUUCGGACCUCACGCUAUCUGAUGAGCCUAGGUCGGAUUAGCUAGUUGGUGUGGUAAAGGCCUACCAAGGCGACGAUCCGUAACUGGACUGAGAGGAUGAUCAGCCACACUGGAACUGAGACACGGUCCAGACUCCUACGGGAGGCAGCAGUAGGGAAUAUUGGACAAUGGGCGAAAGCCUGAUGCAGCCAUGCCGCGUGUGUGAAGAAGGUCUUCGGAUUGUAAAGCACUGUAAGUAGGGAGGAAGAGAAGUGAGAUAAUACAUUGCUGUUUUGACGUUACCAACAGAAAAAGCACCGGCUAACUACGUG
rnacentral:rRNA from 1 species